AUCUAGCUGACGAGUCCAAAAUAGGACGAAACGUGCGUCCUGGAU
rfam:Schistosoma curassoni strain Dakar, Senegal genome assembly, scaffold: SCTD_scaffold0001158